GGGGAAACAAACUGUCCGCCCACUCUACAAGCGCGGCUGAUUGACGCCUAUGAGCAGACGCUUCAUACCGUCAGAUGUAUACACGUGUUCCACAUCCCACGGUUCAUACCACCUAUAAAUACCCAAAGAUUGGCCAGAGGCAAAGGUAAUGAAACUCUCAAUAGAUAGCACUCCAUAACAAGUUUAUAUAUUCUCCUCCCCCUUUAUUGACUGAUUGAUUUGUAUAGUCCCUGGACACUGUUCCGACCACCCAAACCUGACUUGACCGUCGGAGUGUAUACGGCCGCCGCCACCGUUGGUUCCGGCCGUGUGCGCCUGACAGUUUGUUCAUUUCGUAGGGAGGAAUACGUGGAGUAGCUACAAGUUGGCCACGUGGAAGAGCCAUUUUUAGAGGUCAACAAAGAUUAUUAUGAUUACAUCAUUCAAUGAUUAACAAUACCACAAUCAAUCUCUGAUAUAUCUGCAAUUGAUCAAAAACUUCUUUAAGUAUAAUAAGACAUUUACAGGAGGAAUUCCUUGAGGGAACAUGUGUUACCCAAGCAACAAAUCCUAAACUGUAUUCUAACAAUCUAAAGAAAAAUAAUCCGACAAUUUUCUUCAAAACCCACUCGACUAAUCCUACCCCUCGAACUAGUGACCAUUGGUGAGCAAAUCCAAAGGCUUGACCAAUGAGAAAACCCUCGGGAUUUGUUAAUCAUAUAUUUGAACUUCAAUUUAUGAAACGUGUUACCAUAACAAUAGCCUCAUUAAUCCAAACAAUAUUUCAAAAACCCUAAGGUAUCCUUCCACGGAAACGAGAAUGCGAAUACAACACAAGGAAAACAGAAAAAUCAACGGCAAAGGUUUCCUAAGAAGAUGUUUCACCUUUUCCGAGGAGAAUCGACCUGAAAAGGAGUACAAAAACUAUAAGAAAUUCGCCAUUUAAUAAUAAUUACAAUAUCAACACAUCAUCAAUGAGAAAUAUGUUUCUAUGUACAUAUGUACCAUUUUACGUGCAG
rnacentral:lncRNA from 1 species